CUUGGCUGCCCGACAACAAGCUCGCCACCUGCGCUGGGCGCAUCCACCAUCCAAGGCCCAGCUGAGGGGCACCAGACAGAGGAUGAGGAGAGAGAGUCGCACACGGGCUGCCCUGAGAGACAUUUCCAUGGACAUCCUCAUGCUGCUUCUGCUUUUGUGUGUAAUAUAUGGGAGAUUUUCCCAAGAUGAAUACUCCCUCAAUCAAGCUAUCCAGAAAGAAUUUACAAGAAAUGCCAGAAACUCCUUGGGUGGCCUGAGAAACAUCGCUGACUGGUGGGACUGGAGUCUCACCACACUUCUGGAUGGCCUGUACCCAGGAGGCACCCCGUCAGCCCGUGUGCCGGGGGCUCAGCCUGGAGCUCUUGGAGGAAAAUGCUACCUAAUAGGCAGUUCCGUAAUUAGGCAGCUAAAAGUUUUUCCUAGGCAUUUAUGCAAGCCUCCCAGGCCAUUUGCAGCACUCAUCGAAGACUCUAUUCCUACAUGUAGUCCCGAAGUUGGAGGCCCUGAGGACCCCUACCUGAUAGACCCAGAGAACCAAAACAUGACCCUGAAUGGUCCCGGGGGCUGUGGGGCAAGGGAGGACUGUGUGCUCAGCCUGGGCAGAACAAGGACUGAAGCCCACACGGCCCUGUCCCGACUCAGGGCCAGCAUGUGGAUUGACCGCAGCACCAGGGCUGUGUCUGUGCACUUCACUCUCUAUAACCCUCCAACCCAACUCUUCACCAGCGUGUCCCUGAGAGUGGAGAUCCUCCCUACGGGGAGUCUCGUCCCCUCAUCCCUGGUGGAGUCAUUCAGCAUCUUCCGCAGCGACUCAGCCCUGCAGUACCACCUCAUGCUUCCCCAGCUGGUCUUCCUGGCACUCAGCCUGAUCCACCUCUGUGUUCAACUCUACCGUAUGAUGGACAAGGGCGUCCUCAGCUACUGGCGAAAGCCAAGGAACUGGCUGGAGGUAGCCUCUCUUGUGUCAUUUUCUUUUGAAAAAUAACAAUAAACUGUUUAUAUCUUGAAAAAAUAAUUUAAAUAAGAAAUUGAUUAUGCACUAGCUACUGCCAACAUUAUUGCAGUUUUCUCCCUCUGCAGUGUUAAUCUCAAAACAGCAUUUGAGAUCAGGUAUCAUUUAGUGUUGCUACAGUUACCGUCAUGUACCACACGAAUUUCAGCCAAGGUGGUGGUCCCAUAAGAUCAUAUGGUGCUAAGAAAUUUGCGUCACCUAAUGACAUCUUGAUUCUGACCUUGUAUGUAGGCCUAGGCUAAAUAUGUCUGUUUGUAUCUUAGCUUUUAAUAAAGAAGUUUAAAAAUAAAAAA
rnacentral:sRNA from 1 species